rnacentral:rRNA from 1 species
UACGAAGGGGGCUAGCGUUGUUCGGAGUUACUGGGCGUAAAGCGUGCGUAGGCGGUGUCUUAAGUUUGUUGUGAAAUCUCCCGGCUUAACCGGGAGGGUGCGGCGAAUACUGAGAUGCUGGAGUGCCGGAGAGGUAAGCGGAAUUCCUGGUGUAGCGGUGAAAUGCGUAGAUAUCAGGAGGAACACCUGCGAUGUAGACGGCUUACUGGACGGUAACUGACGCUGAGGCACGAAAGCGUGGGUAGCAAACAGG